ACGUAGUUGAUCCGUGCUCAAGAACGACGCUGGCGGCAGGCCUAACACAUGCAAGUCGAACGAACCCUUCGGGGUUAGUGGCGCACGGGUGAGUAACGCGUGGGAACAUGCCCUUCAGUACGGGAUAACGUUGGGAAACUGACGCUAAUACCGUAUAAUAUCUCCGGAUCAAAGAUUUAUCGCUGAGGGAUUGGCCCGCGUCUGAUUAGCUUGUUGGUGAGGUAAGAGCUCACCAAGGCUACGAUCAGUAGCUGGUCUGAGAGGGUGACCAGCCACACUGGGACUGAGACACGGCCCAGACUCCUACGGGAGGCAGCAGUGAGGAAUAUUGGACAAUGGGCGAAAGCCUGACGCAGCGACGCCGCGUGGGGAUGAAGGUUUUCGGAUUGUAAACCCCUUUCAUGAGGAAAGAUAAAGUGGGUAACCACUUAGACGGUACCUCAAGAAGAAGCCACGGCUAACUUCGUG
rnacentral:rRNA from 1 species